UAUCGGGUACUACAUUAAUAUCGGAAUAAAAAGACUCGAUAUUGCAAAUAUCGAUACCAAAAUACAAAAAACGGAAUAUCUGAAAAAGUGAUUAGAAACCUCCGAGCUCCACAGGCAUAC